rnacentral:rRNA from 1 species
AUACGAAGGGGGCUAGCGUUGUUCGGAAUUACUGGGCGUAAAGCGCGCGCAAGCGGUUCGAUAAGUUAGGGGUGAAAUCCCCGGGCUCAACCCGGGAAUGGCCUUUAAGACUGUCGAGCUAGAGGACGAGAGAGGUGAGUGGAAUUCCCAGUGUAGAGGUGAAAUUCGUAGAUAUUGGGAAGAACACCGGUGGCGAAGGCGGCUCACUGGCUCGUUUCUGACGCUGAGGCGCGAAAGCGUGGGGAGC